GGUGGCGGUGGGGUGGGCAGAAGCUCAGUCUCAGGCUUGUCUGUUACAGGAUGUACAGAAUCUUCUAUAUGAGCUAACUGUGCAUUUGCAAAUCAAAUUUCUUAAUUUUACUCUUGGCUUCCACCAGCAAGGCCACUUGGCUUGCCAAGGUCCUGAGAGUGACUGCCCACAGCAGGGCCGUACCAGGGUGAUGCCUCACUGGGCAGGAGGUGCUGCCGUCUGUGGCCUCCCCCGAAGCCGGGCAGUCUGCUCCCCUCCUCCGUGUUUCCACACCAAAGUGUUUUGGGCAGUGUGUUAACUAACCCUGUGUUGCUGUGACAGAACACACAAUGAAAGCAGUUUAGGGAAGAACGGGCUGUUUUAGCUCAAUUUGAGGGUUUUGUCCACUGUGGCAGGAAGCUAUGGCUCCAGGAGAAUAAGGCUGCUGGUCACAUGACAUCCACAGUCAGGAAGCUGAGAGAGAUGCUGGUGCUGUGCUCUGCUCACUCCCUCCUGGUUAUUCAGCCUCCAGACUCACCCCACACACUGGCAUCACCCACAUUCAGGCAGGUCUUCCUGUCCCGCUAACGGAAUCUAGCAACGCUCUCACAGACAUGCUCAGAAGUUUGUCUUUUAGGUGAGUCUAGACCCUGUGAGGUUUAGAGUCAUUAUUAACAUCGAAGGCAGCUGCACACGUUCCACCAAUGAAUUUGAAUUUGGGGGGACCUUAGGAGCUAGGACAGUCUCAGAGUUGCAAGGUGGGGUAGGAGGAGGCCACACACUCGCGUGAGUGAGCGAGCAGGUGUGCUCACUCACACACACACACACACACACACAGAACGCACCUCUGUGUCUAGAAGUGGUGAAUCCCACGAGUUUGCCUUGGGUUGGAAUGGUCACGCUAUCUCUCAGGCUGCAUCUGUCACUGGGUGGCAUGGCCACCAAGCAGCAGAACUAACGGCCUAGCAUGCAUUCUGGUCAGGGGCCUCUCCUCUGCUCCAGCUACGUGCUGGAGGUUGCAUGGUGCAAUAGAGCAGCUUUGCUUUGGGCCCAGCUGUCACCCUCGGGCUCACAUUCCUCGCCCUGUCAGCAGGUGAGGGAGCUUCUCUAUGCUCCGUGGCUCUCUGUGGUGGCCACAGGCCACCUUCUGGCUUCCCAAGUCUCUAACAAGGAUUAAAUACAUUGUAACUCAUGCAAAGUCCUCAGAAUGCACCCAGGGCAAGCGCCUCCCUGGGUGAUCUCCCUUUCAGGUUUUUCUUUCCAUCUGCCACAGGGUGGGAAGCUCAGGCGUUGGGGGUGGAGAAGAUCCACAAAGGCCUAGAGUGCCUGGGACAGCAGAUGGCCCCUUCUUUGCAUCCCGAGUCUCAUCACCUGGCUGCCUCUGUGGCAGGGCUGUGGGUCACGUGCUUCAAGAUGCCCCCUGACAGGCAAGGCUCCCCUCACCAGAACUUUAGUCUAGGAAGCCACAGGCAAGAACCCCAGGAACUCAGAAAAUUUCCUAGUCAGAGAGCCAUGUCCCUCUGCCUUCCCACUACGCUAUCAGGGGAACACGAGAGACCACGGACUGUGGAGCAGAGGUCACAGCUGGAUUGCUGUCUACACCAGGCAGUGAGGGCUCUCAGACCGGGAGGAAUCCCUGGAGUGAAGACACACAUUCCUGACUAGGCUGCUGUGGCUCCCACAUAGGGCGGCUUAUUUGCAUAAGCUCACGAGCUCAGGGACAGCCAGAUUGCUAGCGGAACCUUGUUUUGCAGCGUAUCUGUGAGACCAGCAUUUACACCAGUGGCUGAGCAGUUCAGUGUGGAUGGCGGCCAUCCAGUCUUUUAAGGACCCUGGACAGAACAGAAGGGGGUGGGAGAGCUGCUUUGAGUUGAGACACCCAUCUUCUCCCGGAUUUCCUGCCCACAGAAAGCAGAGCUGGGCACCUCUCGGCCUCCACCACCAUGUCAGCCAAUCCCCCCAGGCAUGAGUUAACCCAGCCUGUUAGGAACGCCCCUCUGGAGCCCCCUGACCAGCGCACUCCCCGCUACAGACAUGGAGAAGAAAGAGCUGCCUGGCUCAGCCACCCUUGCCGGAGGAGGCCUCCCACCCAGGGAUUUGUCCUUCUUGGUUGACACCAGCUCUAGCUGAGGAGAACAGUCUGGAACAGACAUCAUUCCUGUUCCAGCAUGGCUGCUGCCAGAGCCUCAGAUCUGGAGCCCAGAGCUGAGGCGCAGAGUCUAAGGGCUUUGCUGCCAGCUCUGUGGAGGAGUCGUAGCUCAUGCUGUCGGCUGUCUGUAGCCCAGGCCCUGCCUUUUCUCUCCCUGCACUGGGAGAGAAUUUUGCUAAAAAUUCAUUGACAACGUCCAUGCAAGUCGCUAUGUGCUCACAGCACAACCCCAUGUAGUCAGGGUCUCAGACACCAGCGGUUCUGGGCAUGUGCUGCUCAUGAGCCCUUUCUCCAGAGCCACAGGGAGGUGACGGACAUACUCUGUUUGUAUGACAAGCCCGGUGGCACAGGGGAGAACAAGGGGGGUUCCCUGAGCCACUGCAGAGGCAGACCUGGGUCCUCGGCCACCUUUCUCCCUAGCUACAGAGAGGGGCUGGGAGUAACUUCCUGCUCAGCUCCCGAGACCCAGCACCCCUCCACAGCCCGAGGCCCUCCUGCCACUGGCACAGCAGGGCAUGGUGAACACGGCCCUCAGCUUCCUGGCAGAUGGACAGCAUGAGUCAGAGACACUGCGCUCCUCAUGCCAAGACCCAUCAACGGCCAAGGCUGUAAACAACGGUGACCCUCUGGCAAGCCAUCUUGUCCUGCCCAGCUUGCGAUGGCUCCUCAGAGAGGCUUGCUGCUGUGUGAUGCCAGAAUGGCAAGGUCGCUUGGCUGGUGAUCUGGGCACAGCUCUGCACCUCCCCUCCCCAUCCUUAUAGGUGCAGAAGAACAGCUCCGAGGUCAGGAGCUGGUGCUGCAGCUGCAGGACUGUUGGGUGACAUAACUGUAGAGAGGGACCCAGAAGCCUCCAGGGGUGUGGACUCCUGGGGGACACCCCAGGGCAUCAUCGAUUUUCAGACGUUCCAAAAGUCAGCAAUCAUCCUGGCACCGUGGCUGCAUCCUGCUGCAGGGGACACAGGAGGGCACUUCAAAGCAGCAAAGGCCAGAGAAAGGGCUGUAGACACUGUCCCAGCUGUGGCUGCUUGCUCAGUGCGUCUUCAGUGGCUGCUUCUGUGUCACGAUGACACCGUGAAACUAAGGAGUGGUGAUGGGAACCAAAACGUUGACAUCUGAAACCUUCCAGAAAAGUACUGUCACCGCACAGAGGAGGAGGCCAACCUGGGCUGGACAGCAGUGGCUUCCAGGAACCUCAGGCAGAUCAUCCCCACCAUGGCCCCAACCUCUUCCUCCCUGUGACGGUGUCUGUGCGACCUCCGGAAGCUGCAGUGGCAGGAGAAAGGAUGGUGAUUUUCCACAUGUUGAACCUUCUUCCUUCUUGUUGGGGUAGGACUUGGGAUGGCUUCCCAUCUGCUACAAAGGUGGUUAUUCUGUAAUUGUUUUGUGUGAGUCUGUGUGCUUGCACACGACAGUGCUAGUGCAUGUGGGGUCAGAGAGCAGCCUCAGCCAUCAUUCUCAGGCCCACCACCUUGUUUCUUUGAGGCAGCAUCUCUCACUGGUCCCGGGACUCACCCAGCAGGCUGGUGUGGCUGGCCAGUGACAACACCUUCAGGGAUCCACCUGUCUUUGCACACACAGUGCUGGGAUUAUGGCACAUUCAGGAUGGCACGUUCAGGAUGCCAUGCUGUGCUUCUCGUUGUGGUUGGAAUUUCAACAGAGGUUUUUUUUGUGUAGCUCUGCCUGUCCUUGCUGGCGUCUAUCUCAGAGAUUUGCCUGCCUCUGCUCCUGAGUUCUGGGAACCAGAGAUAAGCUGACCAUAAAAUCAAGUGUGCCACCAUAGCCCAGCUGUGCAUGUACACAUAUAUGUAUACAUACGUGUGGUGGGGGUCAAUCGGGUGUUAUGUGUACACUAAUGCUCAAUUCUGGGCUCCAAGAACUGGCUGCAGUCCAGAGGAGGGCAUUCUCCUGUGCACUGCUCUUUGCUGUGUAAACUUUGCUCCUCAGUUAUCUCUGAAUGGUUAAUAAAGGCUGGAUAGCCUGUAACUGGCCAGAAAAGGAGGAGGUGGGGCUUUGGUUCCCCUCAGGUAGGGACCAUAAGGUGGAAGAAGAGAGAGGAGGAAAGGGAGAGGAAGAAGAAAAAAGGAGAGCGAGAAUGUGCCUGAUGGAGAAGAUCCAGCUGAGACAGGAUGAAUAUGGGCGCACAUUUCGGGAGUGCGGCCGGAAGUAGACAGACUACCUUAGAGAAUCAGUUUAAAUCAUACCUGCCCCGCUAUAUGCCCGAGGCUGUUUAAACAAAUCAAUAGGUCUCUGUCUCGAUUAUUGGGGAACUAGCUGGGUCAUAGGAAAGCCCUUUAGAUUUAACAAAUACUCAACAGUGUGUAUGUAUGUAUAUGUGUAUGCACUCAUAUGUGUGUGCAUGUAUGAGUGUGCACACACAUAGGCACACACACACACUUGCACACACAUUUAACAUGGUCUCUGGGCAUCAAACUCAGGUCCUCAUCCUUGCCAGGUAAGGCCUUUCCUGAUGGAACCAUCCACCAGCCUCAGAGGGCCACAUCUUCCCACUGGCUUCGUGUCUCCAAUGUCCCCAGCGUGCGCGAUGGGAGGUGUCCCAGAUUCCGGCUGUGGCACCACUGCUACCAUGCUUAGCACACUGGGUCGGAAGCCCGGGCAUUUGUGUGCAGGUCACGAGUGCCCUGAGGACGCCGCAUCGGGCUCUGCAGAGGAGAGGAUUCACGGUUCAUCCUGCCAGCGGCUCAGCAGCGACAGUCAAGAAGGCUUGGCACGUUUUUAAGUGUCACUUCAAACCCUGGAUGGAGAGGCCACCACGGUGGGCACUACGCUCAGAAGCCACAAGGAAGAGCGCUUUCUUCCUGGUUGCUGCUUAGAGCAAGGCGAGGAGACAGAGGGGAAGAGAGGCCUGUAAGUGUGUGCAGGACCUCAGCAGCCUCCCUGAAGCCACAUUAGGACACAGGUUCCUAAGGCUGACUGCUGCUUGAACUCUUGGAAUGGAGAGGAGAAAGCUGGCCGAGCUUCUCCGUAAGCACCGGGCCCUCCCACCCAGGGCACUGAGGAGAGAAGGAAGGAUUGCUAGGGAGUGAGGCAGGGUGGGUCAAUGACAGGGUUCGGGUAGAUGGCGAGGUGAGGGCGGAUGGCAGCAGAGCAGCAGUCUCUGCCUGCUCACAUCUCAGUGGAUCAGGAAGCAGGAGGGCACAAGGAAGUGGAGGCUGUGACCCUCGAAGUCCUGCCCCACAGACUCACUUCCUGAAGUAAGCCUCCACCUCCCAAUAGUUCCAGCCUGGCAAGGAUGGCACAGGGCUCUCCCGAGCCUGAGGGCCCCACUGAACCUCAGGGUGGUUUAAAACCGAGGUCAUGUGAGGCCCAGCGAUGCGUCUUCCGCUGCACGCCCGAGAGGCCAUAACUCCAGGCAGACCCCAGAAGGCCCCAGUUGGUGUGGCUAACCUGACUCCAUGCUCGGAACAGAAAAACAGUUUCUGGAAGAAGCACGCUCAAAGGCAGCCAGUCAGCUUAAAGGUCCACACAGGGGCUUGAGCUAAGCAUAAUGACUUAGUAAACCCGAGGAAAAUUCCUUAGCAGCUCUGGAAAGUUCCUAACUGUUUAGCCAAUCCUAAGUCCCCCUACCCCCUGAGUCAACCAAUCAGAUGAAAGGUUGUCUCACUCUGGAAAUGUCCUUUCACUCUGGAAAUUGCCUUUAAAUGGAAUGUGCGUGUUCACUCGUAAUCCCAUUCUAAGGAAUGGUGGCCCCAGCAUGCUGGAAAAUUUCUGCAGAAUAAACACUCCUUGCUUUUGCACACUA